AUCCAGUUGACGAGUUCCAAAUAGAACGAAACGCGUCUCCUGGAU
rnacentral:hammerhead_ribozyme from 1 species